rnacentral:rRNA from 1 species
GGCUGUCUCAUUCUAUUUGGAAUUAAAAUUUAAUUUUUUAGUUAAAACGCUAAGAUGUUAUUGGAAGACGAGAAGACCCUAUAGAGCUUUAUAUAAUGAUGUAUAAUUUAAUUUAUAUUGAAUUUUUGUUAUUUGUUUUUGUAUUUUAUUGGGGUGAUAGAGAAAAUAUUUAACUUUUUUAUUUUUUUUUCAUUGAUGUAUGAUUAGGAGAUCCAUUAUUAUUGAUUAUUAGAUCAAGUUACCUUAGGGAUAACAGCGUAAUCCNCCCCCAGAGUUCAUAUUUACGGGCAGGGCUUGCGACCUCGAUGUUGGAUUAAGAUAAUAAUUAGGUGUAGCCGCUUAAUGAGUAGGUCUGUUCGACCUUUAAAUUCUUACAUGAUCUGAG